rnacentral:rRNA from 1 species
UACGGAGGGUGCAAGCAUUAAUCGGAUUUAUUGGGCGUAAAGGGCGCGUAGGCGGCGAUGUAAGUCGGAUGUGAAAUCCCGAGGCUCAACCUCGGAACUGCAUUUGAAACUGCAUCACUAGAGGGUAGAAGGAGAAAACGGAAUUCCACAAGUAGCGGUGAAAUGCGUAGAUAUGUGGAAGAACACCUGUGGCGAAGGCGGUUUUCUAUUUUAUUCCUGACGCUAAGGCGCGAAAGCUAGGGGAGCAAACAGG